GUGGGGGCUAGUGGUUCUUGGUCGGAGGACUAGCAGCGGCUAACCAUAGUGGGUGGUCGACGGCAAUGGGUAGAGGACGGCCGGCGGCAAGGGUUGCCGACAGGAGAAACAUGGGAAAGAUUCAAAAACAGGGGAUCCAAUCCUUUCAUUUUAUUUUCACGAUCAUUGGCCGAUCACCGACGGCCAAAACUUUCGAAGAAGGAAGGUAGGGAGGUAGGGGUUAUGCUACAGGGGUGUGGCACCACAGGCAACGGUGUCGGUGGCCGGAAACGAGAAAGAGAGGACUCGAUCGAAUAGAAAAAAAAUAGGGCAUUCCUUUUUAUGGAUUUUUCGGCAAACCCGACGGCCGGCGGAGGUACACGAUGCCAUGGAAAGGAGG
rnacentral:lncRNA from 1 species